rnacentral:rRNA from 1 species
CCCUUAGAUGUCCUGGGCUGCACGCGCGCUACACUGAUGUGUCCAGUAAGCACCUAACCUCUUCCGAAAGGAACGGGUAACCUUUGCAAAGCACAUCGUGAUGGGGAUAGAUUAUUGCAAUUAUUAGUCUUGAACGAGGAAUUCCUAGUAAGCACAAGUCAUCAGCUUGUGUUGAUUACGUCCCUGCUCUUUGUACACACCGCCCGUCGCUCCUACCGAUUGAAUGUUCCGGUGAGCUCUUCGGACUGCGCGGUCUGCAGUUUCUGCGUUCCGUGCGGAAAGUUGCGCAAACCUUAACAUUUAGAGGAAGGAGAAGUCGUAACA